UGGGAAGUAUUGCAUCAAUGGCAGGCAAGCCAUGACUGCAGCCAUGCCCGCCAUGUAUGAAGAAGGCCAAUUCGGGCUUUGGUUAAAGAUACUUUCAGCGAGGAGGAAGGCAUUAAGGUUAAUAACCUUAGUGAUUGACGUUACUCGCAGAAGAAGCACCGGCUAACUCCGUGCCAGCAGCCGCGGUAAUACAGAGGGUGCAAGCGUUAAUCGGAAUUACUGGGCGUAAAGCGCACGCAGGCGGUCUGUCAAGUCGGAUGUGAAAUCCCCGGGCUCAACCUGGGAACUGCAUUCGAAACUGGCAGGCUAGAGUCUUGUAGAGGG
rnacentral:rRNA from 1 species